AUUGAACGCUAGCGUCAUGCCUUACACAUGCUAGUCGAACGGCAGCAUGGAGAGCUUGCUCUCUGAUGGCGAGUGGCGAACGGGUGAGUAAAGCAUCGGAACGUACCGUGUAGUGGGGGAUAACGUAGCGACAUUUACGCUAAUACCGCAUACGCCCUGAGGCGGAAAGCAGGGGAUCGCAAGACCUUGCGCUAUACGAGCCGCCGAUGUCAGAUUAGCUAGUUGGUAGGGUAAAGGCCUACCAGGGCGACGAUCUGUAGCGGGUCUGAGAGGAUGAUCCGCCACACUGGGACUGAGACACGGCCCAGACUCCUACGGGAGGCAGCAGUGGGGAAUUUUGGACAAUGGGGGAAACCCUGAUCAGCCAUGCCGCGUGAGUGAAGAAGGCCUUCGGGUUGUAAAGCUCUUUCGGCUGGGAGGAAAUCGCACAGGCUAAUACUCUGUGUGGAUGACGGUACCAGCAUAAGAAGCACCGGCUAACUACGUGCCAGCCGCCGCCGUAA
rnacentral:rRNA from 1 species